CAGCCGCCGCGGUAAUACGGAGGGGGCUAGCGUUGUUCGGAAUUACUGGGCGUAAAGCGCACGUAGGCGGCUUUGUAAGUUAGAGGUGAAAGCCCGGAGCUCAACUCCGGAAUUGCCUUUAAGACUGCAGAGCUAGCAGGUGAGAGAGGUGAGUGGAAUUCCGAGUGUAGAGGUGAAAUUCGUAGAUAUUCGGAAGAACACCAGUGGCGAAGGCGGCUUACUGGCUCAUUCUAGACGCUGAGGUGCGAAAGCGUGGGGAGCAAACAGGAUUAGAUACCCGAGUAGUCCCUGUCUCUUAUAU
rnacentral:rRNA from 1 species